rnacentral:lncRNA from 1 species
CUUUCUUUCUAGUGUGUGAGUUGCUGUCUGGCAAAUUUUGGUUGGGUGACUCGUGAGCUUUUUAUUUUUGAGCUCUUUUGUGACAUUCAAUCUUCUGCUUGAGAAAAAGGCGAAUCUUAGCCUCCUUUUAUACGUAUAAAUCAAGGUCGGCUUUAGAUUGCCUUGGGUGGGUGACUCAUGAGCUCCUGAUUUUGAGCUUUUUUGUGAAGUUCAAUCUUCUGCUUGGAAAAGGUGAAUCUGAGCCUCAUUUUAUAUGCUGCUUAAAUCAGGGUUGGCUUUAGUUUUAUAUUCGGUGAAUGUUCUUGGUAUUUGAAUCAAGUUAUGCAUAAUUUUGAUCCUUGUUUCUCAUGUUGGCA